rnacentral:rRNA from 1 species
GAUGAACGCUGGCGGCGUGCUUAACACAUGCAAGUCGAACGAUGAAGCCCAGCUUGCUGGGUGGAUUAGUGGCGAACGGGUGAGUAACACGUGAGUAACCUGCCCUUAACUCUGGGAUAAGCCUGGGAAACUGGGUCUAAUACCGGAUAGGAGCGCCUACCGCAUGGUGGGUGUUGGAAAGAUUUAUCGGUUUUGGAUGGACUCGCGGCCUAUCAGCUUGUUUGUGAGGUAAUGGCUCACCAAGGCGACGACGGGUAGCCGGCCUGAGAGGGUGACCGGCCACACUGGGACUGAGACACGGCCCAGACUCCUACGGGAGGCAGCAGUGGGGAAUAGUGCACAAUGGGCGAAAGCCUGAUGCAGCGAAGCCGCGUGAGGGAUGACGGCCUUCGGGUUGUAAACCUCUUUCAGUAGGGAAGAAGCGAAAGUGACGGUACCUGCAGAAGAAGCACCGGCUAACUACGUG